GAUGAACGCUGACGGCGUGCCUAAUACAUGCAAGUCGAGCGAACGGACGAGAAGCUUGCUUCUCUGAUGUUAGCGGCGGACGGGUGAGUAACACGUGUAUAACCUACCUAUAAGACUGGGAUAACUUCGGGAAACCGGAGCUAAUACCGUAUGAUAUUUUGAACCGCAUGGUUCAAAAGUGAAAGACGGUCUUGCUGUCACUUAUAGAUGGAUCCGCGCUGCAUUAGCUAGUUGGUAAGGUAACGGCUUACCAAGGCAACGAUGCAUAGCCGACCUGAGAGGGUGAUCGGCCACACUGGAAGUGAGACAGGGUCAAGACUACUACGGGAGGCAGCAGUCGGGAAUCUUACGCAAUAGGCGAAAGCAUGACGGAGCAACGCCGCGUGAGUGAUGAAGGUCUUCGGAUCGUAAAACUCUGUUAUUAGGGAAGAACAUAUGUGUAAGUAACUGUGCACAUCUUGACGGUAACUAAUCAGAAAGCCACGGCUAACUACGUG
rnacentral:rRNA from 1 species